rnacentral:rRNA from 1 species
GACGAACGCUGGCGGCGUGCCUAACACAUGCAAGUCGAACGGAAAGGCCCUGCUUGUGUGGGGUGCUCGAGUGGCGAACGGGUGAGUAACACGUGAGUAACCUGCCCUUGACUUUGGGAUAACUUCAGGAAACUGGGGCUAAUACCGGAUAGGAGCUCCUGCUGCAUGGAGGGGGUUGGAAAGUUUCGGCGGUUGGGGAUGGACUCGCGGCUUAUCAGCUUGUUGGUGGGGGAGUGGCUUACCAAGGCUUUGACGGGUAGCCGGCCUGAGAGGGUGACCGGCCACCUUGGGCCUGAGAUACGGCCCAGACUCCUACGGGAGGCAGAAGUGGGGAAUAUUGCACAGUGGGCGGGAGCCUGAUGCGGCGACGCCGCGUGCGGGAUGACGGCCUUCGGGUUGUAAACCGCUUUCGCCUGUGACGAAGCGUGAGUGACGGUAAUGGGUAAAGAAGCACCGGCUAACUACGUG